rnacentral:rRNA from 2 species
UGGGGAAUAUUGCACAAUGGGCGAAAGCCUGAUGCAGCGACGCCGCGUGAGUGAAGAAGUAUUUCGGUAUGUAAAGCUCUAUCAGCAGGGAAGAAAGGCCCUUUAAGGGAGAUGACGGUACCUGACUAAGAAGCCCCGGCUAACUACGUGCCAGCAGCCGCGGUAAUACGUAGGGGGCAAGCGUUAUCCGGAUUUACUGGGUGUAAAGGGAGCGCAGACGGCAGUGCAAGUCUGAUGUGAAAUCCCGGGGCUCAACCCCGGAACUGCAUUGGAAACUGCGCAGCUCGAGUAUCGGAGAGGUAAGCGGAAUUCCUAGUGUAGCGGUGAAAUGCGUAGAUAUUAGGAGGAACACCGGCGGCGAAGGCGGCUUACUGGACGAAGACUGACGUUGAGGCUCGAAAGCGUGGGGAGCAAACAGG